UUCCUCCAACAUGGGUGGGAGCGCUGAUGCAGGUGUACAAGCAGGCAUCCAGCCACAGUAAGAUGCUCCACACUCCAGUGAGAUGGGUCCUUCCCUUUCCUCUGCUGGUUUUAGAUAAUGCCAAAAAGAUACAGCUCUAUUAUCUUCAGCUGGCAGGUGCAAGAGGCCCAGGAGUGCUCCAUGUUCCUGAGCCUGCUGUGGGUCUCACUGGCAUCCUGCACAGUGCCUCGUAGAGAUUCUCAUCAGCGAGCCUUGGAGAUCCUGUCUGAGUCUGCUGCCAGCUGCCCAGCCACCUCCUCACCAUAUGAAUGAUGGACUAAUGGUGCCAUUGGGUCAGCAGACAGCAACAUUUCUCACCCCUUACUCAGAACAACCCACUUUGCAAGUAGAAAGAUCACUCAUCCUACAGACAGAUUAAAUACUCUGUGUUGAGAGCAGCACUCUGCAGCUGCUGGCACUGCCAGAGUCAAACUCACAGCCAGCAUCAGCUGCCUCCAAAAACAAAGCAUCAUCGUCAUCUCUGCUCUCAGAGAAGGUCUUCUGGAAAAGGUCAUAGAUCGUCUUCUGCUUUGGAUCCGGCUGAGGAAACAGAACAGAACAGGAUCUGCAUCCACACUGUCAUGUAAAACAUAGUGAGCAAAAUCAGGACACUCCCCUUACACAGUGCACAUGUCAGCUCCCUUGCAGCACUAAAGAUUCCUCAGAUCCUGCCCAUCCCCAGAUGUCAGAUUCCCCAGCCCUAAGCUAACUCUCACUGAAGCCAAAAAGCCUCCUACCACAACUACCCAGAGGUGGGUCAAUAGCACCUUUUUAAUCUAUUUGAAGGGCUCACUGAAGAGCAAGAGAAAGGCAACAGUAGAGUUCUCCUCCACAGCUCCCUGUCCAAGCACACAGCAGCCAGAUUGCUCCUCAGAACUGAUCUACCAUACACUGAACCACCUUCAGUGUCUGCUGACUUUGUUUAAGUCUCAGCACUUUACAGUACCCUAGCACGGAAAUGUUCUGGGCUUGUAUCUAAGACAAUUCCUCCUCCUUACACAGAGACUGUGAAGGCUUCAGAUGCAUCAGUUCUCCCAGAAUUUCUCUUGAGAGCUCUUUCUUUAUCAGGUAACUACUUUUAUUCCUCCUGCUUGUCAGCCGCUCAGUCAUGUCCACUGCAGCCAGGCCAUGCCAUCAUCUUGCAGCAGCCCUGGCACUUACUGAUCCUCCCCUCACAGGCUGUGGAACUCAGCACUAGCAUUAGCCCCUCACACCACAUAUGUUACAAACUUUGGAAACACAUGUCAGGAGAACCAAAGUGUCUUUCUC